UACGGAGGAUGCGAGCGUUAUCCGGAUUUAUUGGGUUUAAAGGGUGCGCAGGCGGAAUGUCAAGUCAGCGGUAAAAUUUCGGGGCUCAACCCCGUCGUGCCGUUGAAACUGGCGUUCUUGAGUGAGCGAGAAGUAUGCGGAAUGCGUGGUGUAGCGGUGAAAUGCAUAGAUAUCACGCAGAACUCCGAUUGCGAAGGCAGCAUACCGGCGCUCAACUGACGCUCAUGCACGAAAGCGUGGGUAUCGAACAGG
rnacentral:rRNA from 1 species